UACGGGGGGAGCAAGCGUUGUUCGGAUUUACUGGGCGUAAAGGGCGCGUAGGCGGCCACCGCAAGUCGACUGUGAAAUCUCCGGGCUUAACCCGGAAAGGUCAGCCGAUACUGCGGGGCUAGAGUGCAGAAGGGGCAACUGGAAUUCUCGGUGUAGCGGUGAAAUGCGUAGAUAUCGAGAGGAACACCUGCGGCGAAGGCGGGUUGCUGGGCUGACACUGACGCUGAGGCGCGAAAGCGUGGGGAGCGAACAGG
rnacentral:rRNA from 1 species